UACAGAGGAGCCAAGCGUUGUCCGGAUUGACUGGGCGUAAAGCGCACGCAGGCGGAUGCGCGCGUGGGGUGUGAAAUCUGGCCGCUUAACGGCCAGGCGCCAUCCCAUACGGCGCGUCUGGAGUGAUGCAGAGGUCGAUGGAAUUGCCGGUGUAGUGGUGAAAUGCGUAGAGAUCGGCAGGAACACCCAGGGGGAAACCAGCCGACUGGGCAUAGGCUGACGCUGAGGAGCGAAAGCGUGGGGAGCGAACAGG
rnacentral:rRNA from 1 species